rnacentral:rRNA from 1 species
GUUCUACCUUGACGAAUUGUAGUUUAAAGAAGUGUUUUCUGUUAGAGGAGUAGCAAAAGUUCCUUGGAAUGGGACAUCAUAGAGGGUGAGAAUCCCGUAUUUGGUUAUUCUUUCUAGCUUUGUGAUACACUUUCAAAGAGUCGGAUUGUUUGGGAAUGCAGUCCAAAAUGGGUGGUAAAUUUCAUCUAAAGCUAAAUAUUGGCGAGAGACCGAUAGCGAACAAGUACCGUGAGGGAAAGAUGAAAAGAACUUUGAAAAGAGAGUUAAACAGUACGUGAAACUGUCAAAAGGGAAGCGUUUGACACCAGUGUUGUUUUUCCGAAAAUCAAUUAAGAAGGGCUUGAUUUUGUGUUGUAUUGACCUUAUCAGCUUUCUUCACUCUUUUUCGAGUCUUUCUU